GAUGAACGCUAGCUACAGGCUUAACACAUGCAAGUCGAGGGACCGGCGCGCGGGUGAGUAACACGUAUCCCACCUGCCCUUUACUCGGGGAUAGCCUUUCGAAAGACAGAUUAAUACCCGAUAUAAAGGAUGGGAUGCGUUCCAUUAGGUUGUUGGUGAGGUAACGGCCCACCAAGCCUUCGAUGGAUAGGGGUUCUGAGAGGAAGGUCCCCCACAAUUGAGCUGAGGCACGGUCCAAACUCGUACGGAGGGGAGGAGUGUGGUAUAUUAGGCGAUGGGCGUUGACCUGAACCAGCCAAGUAGCGGAAAGGAGGAAUGCUUAUGAGUCGUAAACUUCUUGUAUAGAAGAAAAGGUAUUAUAUGAAUAAGGAUCGGCUAACUCCGUGCCAGCAGCCGCGGUAAUUC
rnacentral:rRNA from 1 species